rnacentral:lncRNA from 1 species
UAUUAACUUAAGUUAUCCAACUUACAUUAGGAAACCCAUUAGGCGCCAACUAUUGGAGCUCUUGCACCCAUAAUUAGACAUCCUCUUUUGCACCCAAGAGACACCCCAUACAAAAAUCAAAGGCUCUCUAAUUAAUGGACAUGUCCAAAUUGAUCAAAUUAAAGUGGCGCCCCAUAAAAACUAUCAAAGAGGUUCAUAAGAGACUUGCAUCCUUAAUUUAUAUGAUCCAU